AGCUUUCAUCCAUCCUUGCUCAACUCUACGUGCCUGCACUCACCAGGUAAUGUGCUUAGUGGCAGCUGGCAGCAGUGCAAAGAGACCUGCAGAGAACGACAGACCGGACUGGAGGCUGUAGGAUCUCCUGGCUGGAGUGACUCACCGCAGGAGUAGCUGAGCUGAUGCACAGCGUGAUGGGAAGACGCUUCCUGCUAAUCCAGCCACAGCCGUCAGGAUCCUUGCUCCGUCUGACAGGGUUCCUCUGCUCUCCUGUGGGGUGUCCUGAGUGGGAUGGAGCUGGACCUGGAGGCAUGGCAGUGCCACGCCGUCCUUCAGACCAUGCAGACGGCAACCACCUCUUGCUCUGGUGGACCAUCCCUGCAGACUUACGGCAGACGGAGAGAGGCCAGGACGUCCCCGGACAUCAGUCUGACGUUUGGGUGAGCUGGUGAGUUGUACUGGAAGGAGGUGAGUAAGCGUUUUGUGCCAAAGCUCAGCUCUCCUGGGACUGAGAGGAAAGGCUGGUCCUCCAUGGGGACAGCACAAGGUGGAGCUGGGAUCACCGGGAGUUUUGGAGACCUGUUUAUGGGGAAGAGACCGAAAGGGCUUGGCUUGUUUUGCAACCAAGGAGAUGGCAGAGGGGGGUCAGACAGAUCCAGGACUGAAGGCUGGUGAAGAGCAUCUACAGGCAGCGUGAGGCUCAGAGACAGAAGUAGGCGCAGGCUGACCAAGACGUGCUUUCAGCCUCACCAAGGAUGCGGUUUUGAGGGGACACCUCAGCCCCUUUCUAAAGAAACCUCAGUUCUCACCUCACCGCCACAACAGAGCUCCCUUUUGAGGUUCUACAGCCUCUCUGAAGUUAUCGGUGUGCCUCAGCCCUGGUUUUCCAGGCGAUGGACUCCCUGCUCCCUUGCUCUCUGCCCACGUGUGCUUUGGUAGUGUCCUUGCUUUCUUUUUUUUUUCACCUUUCCUUUCUUUCCAAAGUGCUAACUGGCUCCGCAGAAGCCCUGCAAACCAUCUUCCAGGCUCAGAUCUGCUAAGGACACCCCAGCGCCAGGGAUAUUUCCUACCUAAACCAAAAAAAAAGCUGCUCAGGAAAGAUGGAUGCCCCUGUGAUCUAUUGUCUUUCCCGCAAUUACGAACAGCUGAUAUUAGUUGCUGUCUUGACAACGCUCGCAUGUGAGUAAUGCGUUGAGCCGAUGCCCUGCCGGCACCGCGGGCUUCGGUGAGGAGGAAGGAGCAAA